UAUCUUCUUUAUUACAUAUCCAUCUCCAUAUCUCACAUAUCAUUUAUUCCAACCAGAAAUUAGAGAAAGAUCCAGAUCCACGAUGUCUUUCUCUCUCUCUCUCUCUCUCUCUCUCUUCACAAGAUCCAGAUUCAGCAUCUAGAAGAAAACCGCACAUGAAUAUGAAUAUGAAGAUGAUGAUGAUGAAUAAGAUACGACGAUGACGAUGAAUCAGAUAUGGAUCUUGUUACUUUUUUAAAUUCUCUUUAUGUUUUUUUUUUUGAUCUAAAAUUACACAUGUUUUGUAAGUGUUUUUAGUUGAAUCAUGCAUUUAAGGUAUGAAAUGUGUAAAAAUGUGUUAUUUAUGACUUUUCCCUCCCUUUCUCUCUCUCUCUCUCUCACUUUAUAUCUUUAUCUUCUAAUUCAUUUCCAGUUCUUAAAGAUCUUCAUCAAGAUCUAAAAGUGAUCUGAAUCCAAAAGAUGAUCCAGUUGAAAAGAUCAUCAUCCAGAUGCUCCAGAUCUAGAAGAUCAUCAUCCAGAUGUUCGAUGUUUGAACAUGAUAUUCCAAAUCUAGAAGAUCCUCCUCCAGAUUCGGUUGAAGAUGACCGAUGUUGAAGAUGAUGUGAUGGCGGUUCGAUGUUGAAGAUGACCCAAAAGAUGUUCGAUGUUUAAACAUGAUGUUCCAGAUCUAGAAGAUCCUCCAGGUUCAUAAAUGCGGCGUAUGAAUAAUAAUAAUAAUAAUCUCCGUUUCUGCUUUGGGGACUUGAUCCUUCUAGCUUGGCUGCUAUCCUGCUGCAGGCAGCAGAUCAUUGGCAAUUGAAAGUGAGUUGACCCUAGCAAUAGUGAAGCCAGAUGGGAUCUCUGGUAAUUACAGUAGCUCAAUAAGGAACAUUAUUCUUCAAUCUGGCUUCACCAUUCAAACACAAGCUACCCUUCACCUCGAUGAGCAUACUGUCACUACAUUUUACGCCGAGCAUUCAACAAAGACUUUCUUUCCAAGCCUUAUAAAAUACAUCACAAGUGGUCCAGUUUUGAUAAUGGUUCUGGAGAAAGUUAAUGCCAUCGCUGAUUGGCGUACUCUUAUUGGACCAACUGAUGCUCGCAAGGCUAAAAUCACUCAUCCUGACAGUAUAAGAGCUAUGUGUGGGGAGGAUUUAGAAAGAAACUGCGUUCAUGGUUCAGACUCACGUGAGUCAGCUGCAAGGGAAAUUUCAUUUUUCUUCCCUCAUUUACUUUCAGGAGGAACAACGCUGAAGCAUGACGAACUCUAAACGUUUAUUCAAUGCUGUCAGCAAUUCUCUUCUUGAAUGCACCGGUGGCCGAUGAACAUCACCAUCUAAUUCUAGUGUUUCGACAAUAGAAAUUUAAUUUCUUAUAGUGAUUUUGGGUCUCAUGUUACUUUCUCCUAGUGUACAUGCACACUUUUGGCGGAUUUUUAUAUACGAGCUGCAGGCCUAAAAGUAUUUUCUUUUGUAACUUA